rnacentral:lncRNA from 1 species
CUAUGAACAUAUUAUUGGGCACAAUAAUUGAGACCUAUGUUAGAGAGUGUGCGGGACCGUAAAUGGAAUCAUCGAUAAGCUCAAGAAAGCAUAUGACACACCUUCUCAAAAUUGAGAGGUUCUUGUCAUGAGUUGGUUGCUGGAUUUCCACAUGCCUGAGCACGUGCAUAGUUUCAAGCUGAUGAUAUGCAAGAUGGAUGUAGUUGGGAUGACAAUCGAUGCUCCAACUCAGACAAUAUAUGUGAGGGUUGAAAAUUAGGAAAGAUAAGAAUAUUUGAGAUUUGAUUUGCAAAUUAAAGUUAAAUGGAGAGAGAGAGGUGGGACGCCCCACUUAGCGCUUC